GCGAAAUGACGAUAGAAUUCAUUGGUCUGUCAAUCCACUGAUAAUCUUUGAUGUGAAACAAUGAAUCCCGACAGGAUCUGAUCGC
rnacentral:snoRNA from 1 species